ACAUAGACUAGUGUGCGUUGGCAUCUUCGUGUUUGUUUUCGUGUAGCAUUUCCCUACAAAUUAGCAAGCGUUCUUUUGUUGUACAGCGUUUUGAAAUAAAAUAAAAGUUUAAUUUGAAACGCAUCCAUUGAAACCAGUGGUUAAAAUUAACAUCUCGCAAAUAUGUCUUCCUGGGAGGAAAUACAAGCCGUUAAGGUGAAGCGUAAUAGUUUACGCGAGAAGCUGGAGAAACGUAAAAAAGAAAGACAAGAUUUGCUUGGAAGCAGUAGUCCAAGUGGUUCGGGAGCCGUUGUUGGAUUAAUUAAAAUCGAGUCGAGCAAUAACCUGACGGAGGAUAAGGGUAAACUUCUUCUGACUACAAUCAAGCUGGAUCAAACUGGAAGUGCGGACAUCGACGCAGAAGUGGAGAAAUAUCUGGUGCAAGUUCUGGCCGAUCAAAGUUUAAUACUGCCGACCAAUUCCGCCCAGAUUGCGGAACGUGUGGAAAAACACGUACAGAAAGCUGUCAUGAGGGACUCAGUUGCGUACUACCUGCAUAAGCUGGCUGGACAGAAGUUAAUCAACAUUAAGGAAGUCAGUAUUGGCGGAACUGUGGGGUAUGAAGUGAUUUCAGCCGAACAUAUAAACUUGCAAGCGCUGCAUGAUGACAUGGGUAUGAAUCAUGUUCCAGUUAUAUCUGUUGAAGCGGCGAAAAGAAAAGCAGAAUGCACAAAAGAAGAUAAAAUGUCCGGUGGAAGUGGCAAAAUCGCUCGAGCUAAUGUAACUAGCACAAGGGAUGACGGAAGAAAAAGCAACGCUGUAGAUACCUCACUCUCUUGUCAAGCAUCUGACAUUAUGUCUCUUCUUUCAUUACCUUCGACAAGGGAGAAACAGAGCAAAAAAGUAGGUGAAGAAAUUUUAGAACUGCUAUCUAAGCCAACGGCCAAAGAACGUUCUUUAGCUGAAAAGUUCAAAUCGCAGGGCGGUGCACAAGUGAUGGAAUUCUGUCCUCAUGGAACACGUAUCGAAUGUAUGCGAUCAUCGGAAGCAACUCCCGAAGCGAAGGAAGGCAAUGAUAAAAAAACGAUCAAUAACAUAGAGGACGAAGAGAAAAGCGAAUGCGACGACGAAAAUGAGGUUAUCAUCGCUAAGGAUGAUGAGUCCAGCCAAACAGAUUCGAUUGAGGGAAAUGUAAUUAAAAAAGAAUUGAUCGAAUCUGACACGACAGGUACUGAAACAUCAACGGAAAUCGAAGAGGCAAAGACAAAAUACCAAUGCAAUAAACUGCAUUUUAAAAAAAUUAUUCAAAACCACACUGACGAAACAUUGGGAGAUUGCAGUUUUCUAAACACUUGCUUCCAUAUGGAUACGUGUAAAUACGUUCACUAUGAGGUAGAUACUUAUGUGGGCCAAACUCCCAGCAUAAUACCAGCAAAAUUUGAACCAAACGAGGAACGCGCUGCUGGGCAAAAAAGACAUACAGCUGAUGCUUGUGCUACAUUAUAUCCACCUCAAUGGAUCCAGUGUGACUUGCGGUUCCUCGAUAUGACGGUAUUGGGUAAAUUUGCGGUAGUUAUGGCUGAUCCUCCGUGGGAUAUUCACAUGGAGUUACCUUACGGUACCAUGUCAGAUGAUGAAAUGCGUCAACUAGGCGUACCAGCGCUGCAGGAUGAUGGUCUAAUUUUCCUUUGGGUUACUGGACGCGCAAUGGAGCUGGGUCGUGAAUGUUUGAAGUUGUGGGGCUAUGAAAGGGUGGAUGAAUUAAUUUGGGUAAAAACUAAUCAACUACAACGCAUAAUACGAACAGGGCGUACCGGUCAUUGGCUGAACCACGGCAAAGAACAUUGUUUGGUGGGUAUGAAAGGUAACCCGCCGAAUUUAAACCGCGGACUUGACUGCGACGUAAUUGUGGCCGAAGUAAGAGCCACAAGCCACAAGCCAGAUGAAAUUUACGGAAUUAUCGAACGACUGAGCCCUGGAACACGAAAGAUAGAGCUAUUUGGCCGACCGCACAAUGUGCAACCCAAUUGGAUAACUCUUGGCAACCAACUUGACGGAAUACGUUUAGUGGAUCCUGAAUUGAUAAAUUCCUUUCAGAAGCGUUACCCCGAUGGUAACUGUAUGACUCCGGCAAAAAAUCCCUAAUAAGCGCCGUACUAAAGAUACAAAAGAUGGCAUGCGGAUGUGAAAAGAAAAGGCCAGUUUAACAACAGUGAGGAUUUUAGAGUAUAAUGGAAUGAUUAUCCUUGAAGAAGUUAAUAUAUUUGCAGAGAUUUAGCUUUGAAAAAUGAGCUGUAACCCAUGAAAAUAUAUGUAUGUGUUAAAAACGUAUAGCCUACAAAAUGUUACAUACCCAUUAAUUGAUAAACUUAUUCUAAUCAGCAAUUUUAGAUGUAUCAGACAGAUAUUUUAAAGCAUAUUUUUAGCACACACUGCAAGCUGUAUGGUUUAAGUCAAUGAUCCGAUUCUCAAUAAGUAUGGUGCGUUGCGUCUUGUGUGUAUGUUGGAGCAUGCGGCCGCCCGGGUAUGCUGUGAGCAUGCUAUUGUGUUAGUGUUAUGAGUGAAGAGCAAAAAUACCAGUCUAUAUUAAACGCCUGCGUAAAUGCUGUUGUGACUUAUUUCGGAACACAGUUGAGCCUUGUUUGUGAUAGGCGUCAGUAGAAGUAAGAGAAGCCGAAAAACGAGCAAUUUCGCGACUACAGAACAUUACACAGACGUUGCUGCAUCUUAACACAACAUCGUUAAUACGUCAAGGAAUUGGUCGUGAUAGCAGCAGGAUGACGGGUGCAGUGGAUAACUUAACUAUCAUACAUUACAAUGACGUAUAUAACAUCGAUGCAAACAGCAAAUCUGAACCUAUUGGUGGAGCUGCACGGUUUUGCAUGGCGGUCAAAUCAUUUCAUCAUCUAAAUCCUCUGAUCCUGUUUAGUGGUGAUGCAUUUUCACCAAGCAUGCUUAGCACCUUUACAAAAGGAGAACAGAUGGUUCCUGUAUUGAAUGCUAUCGGAACUCAUUGUGCAGUAUUUGGGAACCAUGACUUUGAUCACGGAUUGGACGUGCUACACGCCUGGGUUGAAAAGACUAACUUUUCCUGGUUAAUGUCUAACGUAGUUGAUAAUGAAACUGGACGACCAUUGGGUGGUGGUAAAAUUACUCAUAUUAUGAAUCACAAUGAGGUGAAAAUAGGUUUGAUUGGUUUAGUAGAAAAAGAGUGGCUAGAUACGCUUCCAACGAUUGAUCCAAAUGAAGUAACGUAUAUUGAUUUUAUUAAAGCUGGAAACCAACUAGCAGAUGAACUGCACAAUCAGGUAAUCAUAAAUGUUAUCCUUCCUAUCAACCAACUGCAAAACUAAUAACUUUUUUCUUUCAGGGUUGUGAUGUUAUUAUAGCUUUAACACACAUGCGAACACCUAAUGACAUAGAGUUGGCCAAACACAGCGGUCACAUAGACCUAAUAUUAGGUGGACAUGAUCAUGUGUAUGAAAUAUUAAAUAUUGAAGAUACACAUGUCAUUAAAUCAGGCACAGAUUUUAGGCAAUUUUCGAAGAUCGGCAUAAACCUAGAUCGUAAUAAAAAUGGUAAAAUCAAUAUAAACGUGGAGAAAAUUGAUGUUAAUUCUACAAAGUAUUCGGAGGACGCUACGCUCAAAGAAGAAUUAAAAAAAUAUGCAGAUACAAUCGAAUCGAAAAUGGAUGAAGUGCUAGGAACGUUUACUGUAGAGUUGGAUGGAAGAUUUUCUGCUAUUCGUACAUCUGAGACCAAUCUUGGAAAUUGGAUUUGUGAUGUGGCACUAGCAGCCACUGGAGCUGAUUGUGUUAUUAUCAAUUCUGGUACGUUUCGUUCCGAUCAAAUUCAUCCUGCUGGACCAUUUACCAUGCAUGACUUGAUUAACAUAAUACCGAUGCAAGAUCCAUUGAUCGUGUUAGAAGUUUCCGGAAAAAUUUUGCUCGAAGCACUUGAAAAUUCGGUGUCAACGUACCCGAAACUGGAAGGAAGGUUUCCGCAGGUAGCCGGAAUGUCAUUUGUGUUCGACCCAUCAAAAAGUUCAGGAAAACGAGUAGAAGCAAAACUAGUGCGUGUCGGGGAUGAAUGGUUGAAUUUGGAACAAACAUAUUCACUAUGCAUUAAAAGCUAUAUAUAUGGAGGUUGUGAUGGUUAUACCAUGUUCAAAGGAUGUCGAGUACUUAUGGACGACGAUGCUGCACCAGAACUUGGAUUGGCUAUCCAGAACCAUUUCAAAGCAAUUGAUGUUCGUUUAGGAAAAACUCACCACACUAAACAUCGCCAAUCGCUUGUAACUCUGUCACGGCGCCACAGCAUGGUACAGAUGCUUGAAAACCUAGAGCUGGAUGGCCCGACCCCAAUCAGACGAAAGUCUUCCGUGACGAUACCAAAAAUGGAACACAUUUGUAAUAAUCGUGGCAAACUUUUACGUCGCGCAUCGCUGGACGAUUUGGAACAAAACAGCUGCCAGCUUGCACCAGCCAUUCAACAUAGAAUUAUUCUCGUUCAAAGUGAAGAUCACAUUCGAGAGAUGAUUUUGAGACGAGAAACUAUUGAAAAAACUUGUGUUAUUAAGGAGACCGACGAGCUUACUCCUUAAACUUCUAGUAUUGGCAUUUGUCGGAAUAUUCUAAUACAACAUAGAUGAAAUGAAAAUAAACUUACAAGUGAAUAAACAGCA